rnacentral:rRNA from 1 species
UGCAGUCGAACGGUAGCACAGAGGAGCUUGCUCCUUGGGUGACGAGUGGCGGACGGGUGAGUAAUGUCUGGGAAACUGCCCGAUGGAGGGGGAUAACUACUGGAAACGGUAGCUAAUACCGCAUAACGUCGCAAGACCAAAGAGGGGGACCUUCGGGCCUCUUGCCAUCGGAUGUGCCCAGAUGGGAUUAUCUAGUAUGUGGGGUAACGGCUCACCUAGGCGACGAUCCCUAUCUGGUCUGAGAGGAUGACCACCCACACUGGAACUGAGACACGGUCCAGACUCCUACGGGAGGCAGCAGUGGGGAAUAUUGCACAGUGGGCGCAAGCCUGAUGCACCCAUGCCGCGUGUAUGAAGAAGGCCUUCGGGUUGUAAAGUACUUUCAGCGAGGAGGAAGGCGUUGUGGUUAAUAACCGCAACGAUUGACGUUACUCGCAAAAGAAGCACCGGCUAACUCCGUGCCAGCAGCCGCGGUAAUACGGAGGGUGCAAGCGUUAAUCGGAAUUACUGGGCGUAAAGCGCACGCAGGCGGUCUGUCAAGUCAGAUGUGAAAUCCCCGGGCUCAACCUGGGAACUGCAUCCGAAACUGGCAGGCUAGAGUCUUGUAGAGGGGGGUAGAAUUCCAGGUGUAGCGGUGAUAUGCGUAGAGAUCUGGAGGAAUACCGGUGGCGAACGCGGCCCCCUGGACAAAGACUGACGCUCAUGUGCGAAAGCGUGGAGAGCACACAAGAUUAUAUACUCUGGUACUCCACGCCGUACACGAUGUCGACGUGGAUGUUGUGCCCUUGAGGCGUGGCUUCCGGAGCUCACGCGUUAACUCGACCGCCUGGGAGAGUACGGCCGCAAGGUUAACACUCAUGUGAAUUGACGGGGGCGCGCACAAGCGGUGGAGCAUGUGGUUGUA